GAUCAAUAAUAAAAAUAGCCAAAUCCGAGCAUGAGAACACCUGCCAGGCUACCCGAUGCAUGAUCUUCAUCGUUCUGAGA
ensembl:snoRNA